rnacentral:rRNA from 1 species
CUUAACACAUGCAAGUCGCGGGAGAAGGUCCUUCGGAAACUGGGCACCGGCGCACGGGUGAGUAACGCGUGGGAACGUACCCUUCGCGGGGGACAACAGCUGGAAACGGCUGCUAAUACCGCAUACGCUCUAAGGAGGAAAGGCUUCGGCCACCGAGGGAUCGGCCCGCGUUAGAUUAGGUAGUUGGUGAGGUAAUGGCUCACCAGGCCUACGAUCUAUAGCUGGUCUGAGAGGAUGAUCAGCCACACUGGAACUGAGACACGGUCCAGACUCC